rnacentral:rRNA from 1 species
CGAGUUUGAUCCUGGCUCAGGAUGAACGCUAGCGGCAGGCUUAACACAUGCAAGUCGAGGGGGUAUUGGUUUUCGGACCAAGAGACCGGCGCACGGGUGCGUAACGCGUAUGCAAUCUACCUUUGCAGAGGAUAGCCCAGAGAAAUUUGGAUUAAUACCUCAUAGUAUAGUACUUUGGCAUCAAGGAACUAUUAAAGUCACAACGGCAAAAGAUGAGCAUGCGUCCCAUUAGCUAGUUGGUAAGGUAACGGCUUACCAAGGCUACGAUGGGUAGGGGUUCUGAGAGGGAGAUCCCCCACACUGGUACUGAGACACGGACCAGACUCCUACGGGAGGCAGCAGUGAGGAAUAUUGGACAAUGGGCGCAAGCCUGAUCCAGCCAUGCCGCGUGCAGGAUGACGGUCCUAUGGAUUGUAAACUGCUUUUAUACAGGAAGAAACACUCCGACGUGUCGGAGCUUGACGGUACUGUAAGAAUAAGGAUCGGCUAACUCCGUG